CGGCGAGUGGCAGAGUGGGUGAUUGCGCCUGCCUGUAGAGCAGGCCUGUAAAAAGCACGUAGGUUCGAAUCCUACCUCGCCGA
rnacentral:tRNA from 1 species